CCUGAUAACCCCAAAAGAUCGAAUGGGGAGAUUCAUCGUCAGCGAUUUUGGUGCGUGUGCGGCUCGCGAUGCAGGUGACUUCGGUCUCAUUGUACGCGUCCGCAUGUUUUUUAUUGCCAUUAUCGUCGGCGUGCACUUCUCCCCUAGUAGGACGUCGCGACCCGUUGGGUGUCGGUCUACGGCCCCGGUGUGUAGCCUGUCACGUGUGCGCUUCACGGCGUUACGCGGUACAGACACCCGGUUGCCCGACCGGCUGCCCGGCGGNACUCGCACGGNAUCUGGCCNCAAANAUUCNAACUGCGUCCGGCCCGUCGCAAGCAAGGCAAGNGUUCUCCCGGCUGUACGGAUCUAAUGCCGUCAACCUGCCUUGCCAGCUGUUGUCUGACGGUGUCCUAGGACAGGCUAACCAAUAAAUUAUNAUACCGGUCGGCGACNCUACUGCUUUGGGUACUUUCAGG
rnacentral:rRNA from 1 species